rnacentral:tRNA from 1 species
GGAGAGAUGACCGAGUAGGCCGAUGGUGCUCGCCUGCUAAGCGAGUGUAGGGCCUAAAAGCUCUACCGAGGGUUCGAAUCCCUCUCUCUCCGCCA